rnacentral:rRNA from 1 species
CGGCGGGUGAGUAAUGUCUGGGAAACUGCCCGAUGGAGGGGGAUAACUACUGGAAACGGUAGCUAAUACCGCAUAACGUCGCAAGACCAAAGAGGGGACCUUCGGGCCUCUUGCCAUCGGAUGUGCCCAGAUGGGAUUAGCUAGUAGGUGGGGUAACGGCUCACCUAGGCGACGAUCCCUAGCUGGUCUGAGAGGAUGACCAGCCACACUGGAACUGAGACACGGUCCAG